AGCCGGCCGCGGCCCAGCGCCUCUGUAAUCACAGGGCCCACGCCCAGCAGCCAGCGGGGCCAGGAAAUCGCCCCCCCUCCCCCGCCUUCCGCCGCCAGCCCAUGGCCCGAACGCGGCGCCUGCGGCCACUCGCGGUCACUCGCCGGGUGGACCUCCUGCCUGCCUAACGGUGCUUUCUCCUCUGCUUCUCCUCUCCUGCUGCUCUCUCUCGGGGGACUUGGAAGUGUGGCUCUCCAGCUGGGCUGAGUCUCCCAAGAAGGACGUGACAGGUGCCGACACCAACGCCGAGCCCAUGAUCUGGAACAGUACGUGGUGGUGUCCACUACAAGAAGCAGGAGAACUCGGAGCUGAGCCUCAGGCCGGGGAGGUGGUGGAUGUCAUCGAGAAGAACGAGAGCGGUGAGUGCGCGGCCGGCCGGCCAUCCGCUCGGUUCCGGCCUGGCCCCUCGGACGGGCCGGGUCUUGCUCCCUU
rnacentral:lncRNA from 1 species